rnacentral:rRNA from 1 species
UACAGAGGUCCCGAGCGUUGUUCGGAUUCACUGGGCGUAAAGGGGUGCGUAGGCGGUCGGGUAAGUCUGAUGUGAAAUCUCACAGCUUAACUGUGAAACUGCAUUGGAUACUAUUCGGCUUGAGGUCUGGAGGGGGGACUGGAAUUCUCGGUGUAGCAGUGAAAUGCGUAGAUAUCGCCUGGAACGCCGAAGGUGAAAACAGUCUGCUGGGGGCGUACCGACGCUGGAGACACGAAAGCCAGGGGAGCGAACGGG